rnacentral:rRNA from 1 species
GGAAUAUUGCACAAUGGGGGAAACCCUGAUGCAGCGACGCCGCGUGAUUGAAGAAGUAUCUCGGUACGUAAAGCUCUAUCAGCAGGGAAGAAAAUGACGGUACCUGACUAAGAAGCCCCGCCUAACUACUUUCCAGCAGCCGCGGUAAUACGUAGGGGGCAAGCGUUAUCCGGAUUUACUGGGUGUAAAGGGAGCGUAGACGGCAGCGCAAGUCUGAAGUGAAAUGCCGGGGCCCAACCCCGGAACUGCUUUGGAAACUGUGCAGCUCGAGUGCAGGAGAGGUAAGCGGAAUUCCUAGUGUAGCGGUGAAAUGCGUAGAUAUUAGGAGGAACACCAGUGGCUAAGGCGGCUUACUGGACUGUAACUGACGUUGAGGCUCGAAAGCGUGGGGAGCAAAC